UACGUAGGGUCCGAGCGUUGUCCGGAAUUAUUGGGCGUAAAGCGCGCGCAGGCGGUCCUUUAAGUCUGAUGUGAAAGCCCACGGCUCAACCGUGGAGGGUCAUUGGAAACUGGGGGACUUGAGUGCAGAAGAGGAGAGUGGAAUUCCACGUGUAGCGGUGAAAUGCGCAGAUAUCAGGAGGAACACCGGUGGCGAAGGCGGGUCUCUGGGCCACUACUGACGCUGAGAAGCGAAAGCAUGGGGAGCGAACAGG
rnacentral:rRNA from 1 species